CCAGUAGAACCUGAUGGCACCCUUCCUGGCUCAGACAAUAACCAAGAAAAGAAAGUAAGAUUAUCUCCAGCCAAAAUGUCAACCAAGAAUUAUACAGAUCUAGUUGAAUAUGUUGACAACCCUCCCAAGCUGUCUCUUGUCCCAGGCCAACGCAGCCAUCUGAUUCAGGUUGGGUUGCCCAGGGAACAGACUCUGAGAUGGAGAUUGGUGAAUAGAAGGCUUAUUACAGAGCACACUGGGAUCAACACCUGUGGAAGGGAAGGGAAAGGAAUGGAACUGAACAGAAGGAAUAGUUGAACUAUAUGAAGCUGACUUCUCUUUCCAGUGAUAUUCACAACAUAAUUUGCUACCGUUCAGAGGCGG
rnacentral:sRNA from 1 species